GCCUCUGUAGCGCAAUGGAUAGCGCUUUGGACUUUUAAUCCGAAGGUUGUGGGUUCGAGUCCCAUUUGAGACC